rfam:Gossypium raimondii Chr07_contig_601, whole genome shotgun sequence.
AAUCCAUGUUGAGAACACCUUCUCAACAAACCCUUGAAUCUUUCCCAUGUAUCAUAAAGAGCCCUAAUAUCAAACUGAACAAAAGAAGAGAUGUCAUUCCUCAACUU